AUUGAACGCUGGCGGCAUGCCUUACACAUGCAAGUCGAACGGCAGCGCGGGGCAACCUGGCGGCGAGUGGCGAACGGGUGAGUAAUAUAUCGGAACAUACCCUAGAGUGGGGGAUAACGUAGCGAAGUUACGCUAAUACCGCAUACGCACUAAGGUGGAAAGUGGGGGAUCUUCGGACCUCAUGCUCAUGGAGUGGCCGAUAUCUGAUUAGCUAGUUGGUGAGGUAAAGGCUCACCAAGGCGACGAUCAGUAGCUGGUUUGAGAGAACGACCAGCCACACUGGAACUGAGACACGGUCCAGACUCCUACGGGAGGCAGCAGUGGGGAAUUUGGACAAUGGGGGCAACCCUGAUCCAGCAAUGCCGCGUGAGUGAAGAAGGCCUUAC
rnacentral:rRNA from 1 species